UCCAUUUGAAAUAGAGACAGCUUAGGCCUGCAAACUCCAGCUUACACUCCCACCUACUGUCCAGAGAUGGCAAGCCUACCUGCCUCAAGCCUUUCUUAUACUUCAUCUUUCUCUCUCUACCGAUGCAUCCACUCCCUUUCUCUCUCUAAACCACACGAAAUAAAAAACCAUUCCUUUUCUCUUUCUAAAACCAGAGGAACCCUAUCUCUCCCUCGCGCCUAGUUUCCUCUCUAUCUUUUACAAACUACAGGGGCCCUAAUACACCCUCGCGAACUCUCUCUCUCUAAACCAGAAAUACAGGGGAAGCACUACCAAACUGACGUCUCCCUCUCUCUGCGCCUCUCAUACGAGAACAGAAGUGAAAGUUCUGUCUUAAUCGCAGUCACAGAGGAUGUUUGUUCAAAUGCUGUAAACCCUCGCGAACUCUCUCUCUCUGAACCAGAAAUACAGGGGAAGCACUACCAAACUGACGUCUCCCUCUCUCUGCGCCUCUCAUACGAGAACAGAAGUGAAAGCUCUGUCUUAAUCGCAGUCACAGAGGUCUACACCUUUGGAUGACUACCGGUGUCCAAAUUGUACCUUUUUUCCAAUUGACAUGAAAAGUUAAAUGACACACUAUGGGCCUAUCGAACAAAUGAGAAGACUCCUAUAAGCAUGACCCCAUACUCAUUAGUGUAUCGUAUGGAGGUUGUGCUAAUUUAUUUUCUAAUUAUAAUAUUAGAAUAUAGAUUAGUUUUAGAAUCUUUUACCUCUUGAGAGCUCGAAAUUAAUGCUUUCAAGUUUUUUUUUCAUAAGUCAUUUUGUUGUGUUUUAAAGACGUUUCAAAAUAGAAAGAUCAGAGUAAAUUUUACUGUGAAAGUCUCGUGCUUUCAAAAUAGUCUAUGAUUAAUUUUUAAAUUUCUUAUAAAUUAGUCAAUUGCUCCUACUGUUUAAC